AUGUGGAAGCGCCUCCUGGAGACGACCAAGAAGGUGGCCGCCGCCGCGCCCGAGCUCGCAACCCGGAAGCGCCCCUCCACCAGCCGCAGCCCCGCCGUCUCCCCGGCCACCGCGGUCUCCCCCGCCUCCCUCCUCCGCCUCAAGCAGGCCGCCGCCUCCAAGAAGACCGCCUUGCCCUCCUCCCUCCCCCACGCCCUCGCCAACGAUGGGGAGGAGGAGGACAACUCCCGUGACUUCACCAAGGAGAUCCUGUCCAUAUUGAACGGUCCUGAUGAAGCGGAAGAGUCCGGGGCCACGGAGGCGCUGCCAGAGGAGUCCGACGACGACGUGGACGCCAUCGGCAACAAGAUACUGGACAUGGAGUGGUUUGCAGGGUCGCAGCCGAGUAGCAUGAUGAUGCACUUGCGGAAGGAGGUGGCGAGGGAGAAGAAGAAGCGCUACAUCUUCAAGAACACGGAGAGCCGCCGCUUCACGAGGCUGAUGCGGAUGUGCGCCGACAAGCUUGGCACCGAGUCUGCGCUCGAGUUCUUCGGGAGGCUGGGGAGGGAUACCGGUCCCAAGGAGUUCAAUGCAUUGAUUAGGGUUUGCUUGGAAAAGGCAAGGGCCUGCGGGGACGUUGACUCAGCAGUGGAACAUAUUUUUCGGGCAUAUCGGCUUUUUGAGAUGAUGAAAGAUAGGGGGUUUCAGAUCGAGGAAGACAGUUACGGGCCAUUUCUCUUGUACCUGGUGGAUGUGGAGUUGUUGGAGGAAUUUGAGAUGUUCAGUGCAUUUUUUAGGGAUGGGAAUCCACGGUCCUGCUCCAGGAUACCUUAUUACGAGAUGUUGCUCUUGAUUCGAGCUCAAGAUGAAGAAAGCAUUCGAGAACUUUGUCGCUCUGUUGAAGACUGCAGUGAUGAAGCUGAUUAUUGCAUAGCAGAAAGCUAUAUGCUGGCCUUUGCUGAAAGCAACAGAAAGAUGGAUUUUGUCACGUUCUUGGAAUUACUUGACCCAACAAAAGUUUUAGGGUCGAAGUACAUAUCCAGUAUAUUCAAGUAUAUGGGUAGGCUCAAACUGGAGAACCAUGCUGAGAAACUUCUUCAGAAGAUGACGUCAAAAGAAUACUCCGAUGUAAAAGUUUCAUCCUUAAUUUUUGACUAUGCUGCAAAUAUACCGAGUAUAGAGGUUGAAGAUGUUAUAUCAGCGUUUAAUAAAUGGCAAGAGAAGUUUAAGGUAGCACCUUCUGUUGGUGUAUAUGACAGGAUCAUCUCCUUUUGCUGCAGUUCAUCGAAGAUCAGCUUAGCUCUUGAUGUGGCUGAGUGCCUUUGUAAAUCCAAUCCCAGUGUGCCGAUUGAAUUGCUCAAUCCAAUAAUAAAUGCCUGUGAGCAAGGCUACGAGCUUCACAUGGCUCGUCCGUUAUAUAAUUUGAUGAGUCUCUACAAGUUGAAAUUGAAACCCGAAACUUUCAGGAGCAUGAUAAGUUUAUGUGUAAAAAUGAAAGAUUUUGAAGGUGCUUACACUAUACUCACAGAUGCAGAAGAAUCUGGGGAGACGUCCACCGUAAGCCUGUAUAAUGUUAUUAUGGCUGGAUAUUUUAGAGAGAAAAAUCACAAUGGAGCACAAAUGGUCAUGUCGCAAAUGCAGAUUGCUGGAGUAAAACCAGACUCUGAAACAUUCAGUUAUUUGAUCUCAAACUGUGAUUGUGAGGAGAAAAUAUCAAAGUACCUGGAUGAACUAAGGCGAGAUGGAGUUCAAAUGACCAAGCAUGCAUAUAUGGCACUAAUUAAUGCAUAUUCAAGACUUGGGAAUUUUGACAUGGCCAAACAGGUUGCCCUGGAUAAGGAAAUACCACCUAAGUGCCUCAGUGAAGUAAGAAGCGCGCUUGUAGGAGCGCUUGCAUCGAAUGGGAAGGUAUCAGAUGGACUUGAGUUGUUUGACGAAAUCAAGCAAUCCGGAGGCUACCUUGAACCAAAGGCUGCAAUAGCCCUGAUUGAGCAUACUCAAACAGAAGACCAGCUAGAUAGACUGUAUCAACUUCUGGAGGAGGUGAGCGAGCCAGGCAUGUGGUUUGAUGGGUGCGGCAGAGUGCUUCAAUACUGUGUUCAGCACAAUCACCCUGAUGCCGCUGUUGAUUUACUUAAGCAACUGAAGGAGACAAAUGAAAUGAGUACAUACAUGAUUGUUGAUCAGGUCUUCUGCCAAAUAUGGGAAAUGGAGCCUGUAAAUUUGGAUCUUGGAAUGGAGCUUCUCCGUGCUGUCAAAGAGCUCGGGCUAAAUGUUUCUCGGACAAGCCUUGAUUUUCUUCUCAGCGCAUGUGUAAAGGCAAAGGAUUCACAACGUGCCCAGCAGAUCUGGGAAGAAUAUGAAUCCUCUGGCCUUCCACACAACGUGUUGACUUCCUUGAGGAUGUACCAGGCUCUUGUUUCGUCUGCCCAGAGGUCGGCAGCAAAGAAGUUGUACAAAACAAUACCAAAGGAAGAUCCUCAUGUGCGCUGCAUACUAGAUUCUUGCAAAAUAACAUAUAACAGGAAGCGCGGUAAACGUAAAGCUGCCACUGAGCCCAGUCCAGGAAAACAAGAGUUAAAAGCCGGUGCUUGGGGAAAGGGAGACCACGCCAACAAUUCUUGUUGUUUACCAUGA
rnacentral:rRNA from 1 species